rnacentral:rRNA from 1 species
AUUGAACGCUGGCGGUAGGCCUAACACAUGCAAGUCGAACGGCAGCACAGGAGAGCUUGCUCUCUGGGUGGCGAGUGGCGGACGGGUGAGGAAUACAUCGGAAUCUACCUUGUCGUGGGGGAUAACGUAGGGAAACUUACGCUAAUACCGCAUACGACCUUCGGGUGAAAGUGGGGACCGCAAGGCCUCACGCGAUUAGA